rnacentral:rRNA from 1 species
UUGGCUUAGAAGCAGCCAUCCUUCAAAGAAAGCGUAAUAGCUCACUGGUCGAGUCCUUCUGCGCGGAAGAUGUAACGGGGCUAAGCUGUUAACCGAAGCCGCGGAUGCACUGAUUAUUCAGUGCGUGGUAGGGGAGCGUUCUGUAAGUCUGCGAAGGCGGUUCGAGAGGACUGCUGGAGAUAUCAGAAGUGCGAAUGCUGACAUGAGUAACGUUAAAGCAGGUGAAAAGCCUGCUCGCCGUAAGCCCAAGGAUUCCUGCUCUACGUUCAUCGGAGCAGGGUGAGUCGGCUCCUAAGGUCAGGCCGAAAGGCGUAGCCGAUGGGAAUCAGGUUAAUAUUCCUGAACCUGCGUCAGAUGCGAUGGGGGGACGGAGCAUGAAAGAUCAUCCGGGUGUUGGAUGUCCCGGUUGAAGAGCGUAGGAGGUCUGCAGGCAAAUCCGCAGACGCAUCUCCAAGGCGAAGUCACGUGCCGCCACGGCGGCGAAGUGAUCGGAAGUGCUUCCAAGAAAAGCCUCUAAGCACCAGUCUGACGCGGACCGUACCGCAAACCGACACUGGUGGGCGAGCUGAAUAUGCUCAGGCGCUUGAGAGAACUCGGGAGAAGGAACUCGGCAAAUUGACACCGUAACUUCGGAAGAAGGUGUGCCUGAGUAACGUAGGCGCAGGGACUGCGCUCGCGUGAAAAGGUCUCAGAGAAUAGGUGGCUGCGACUGUUUAUUAAAAACACAGCACUCUGCCAAGUCGAAAGACGACGUAUAGGGUGUGAUGCCUGCCCGGUGCUGGAAGAUUAAUUGAUGGGCUGAGAGGCCUUGAUCGAAGUCCCAGUAAACGGCGGCCGUAACUAUAACGGUCCUAAGGUAGCGAAAUUCCUUGUCGGGUAAGUUCCGACCUGCACGAAUGGCAUAACGAUGGCCACACUGUCUCCUCCCGAGACUCAGUGAAGUUGAAAUGUUUGUGAUGAUGCAAUCUACCCGCGGCUAGACGGAAAGACCCCAUGAACCUUUACUGCAGCUUUGCAUUGAACUGUGAACCGAUUUGUGUAGGAUAGGUGGGAGGCAGAGAAACGUGUACGCCAGUACGCGCGGAGCCAACCUUGAAAUACCACCCUGAUUUGUUUGCGGUUCUAACCCGGGACAGUGACCCUGUUCGGGGACCGUGCAUGGUAGGCAGUUUGACUGGGGCGGUCUCCUCCUAAAGGGUAACGGAGGAGUACGAAGGUACGCUAGGUACGGUCGGAAAUCGUGCUGAUAGUGCAAUGGCAAAAGCGUGCUUGACUGCGAGAGCAACAACUCGAGCAGAUGCGAAAGCAGGUCAUAGUGAUCCGGUGGCUCUGAAUGGAAGGGCCAUCGCUCAACGGAUAAAAGGUACUCUGGGGAUAACAGGCUGAUACCGCCCAAGAGUUCAUAUCGACGGCGGUGUUUGGCACCUCGAUGUCGGCUCAUCUCAUCCUGGGGCUGUAGUCGGUCCCAAGGGUAUGGCUGUUCGCCAUUUAAAGAGGUACGUGAGCUGGGUUUAAAACGUCGUGAGACAGUUUGGUCCCUAUCUGCCGUGGGCGUUGGAAGAUUGACGGGGGCUGCUCCUAGUACGAGAGGACCGGAGUGGACGCACCUCUGGUGUACCGGUUGUCACGCCAGUGGCAUUGCCGGGUAGCUAAGUGCGGAAGAGAUAACCGCUGAAAGCAUCUAAGCGGGAAACUUGCCUGAAGAUGAGUCUUCCCGGAGGUAAAACCUCCCUCAAGAGUCGUCCGAGACCAGGACGUCGAUAGGUCAGGUGUGUAAGCGCUGUGAGGCGUUGAGCUAACUGAUACUAAUUGCUCGUGAGGCUUGAUC